UAGACGCGCCUUCCGUUAUUUUCAGGGUUGUAUCGACACAAUGAUGGACCUUAGAUGCAUAGGCGGGUGUGUGCCGUUAUUUCUUCUGGCUAUUGGUUUUGAUGUUAUUGGUUUCAUUAUCCUGUUCAUUGGAAUUUUUGCCAAUUUGCGUAUCGAUGGCAGGUUUUAUGGCGAUUUCUUGAUUUACAGUGGUUCAAUUAUAAUUUUCAUAAGUUUGGCUUGGUGGAUUAUGUGGUACGUGGGAAAUAUACAGGUCUCAGAAGACAGCUUUGGAACAAGCUUAAUGAAAAGGAAACUGAGUUUUGUACAGUUGGCCAGAAAGUUGUCAGAGAGGCUUUCCAAAAAAUGCAAACCUGAACAUGUAGCCACAAAGUAUGCCGAGGAAAACAAGGUUAAAGCUGUGACGCCUUCACCUGUUCACGUCGCCUCUCGAAUAACCUGGGGGAAAUCUUUCGGUUAUCAGAAUGGCGGCUAUGACUCCAGCUUGGACUCCUUUUCGAUGGAGAAGGAAAAACAGACACCAGAUAUACAGAACUUGGAUGUGCAGACCCACGCUAGGGGUAAUGUUGAAAGGCUGUUCUGAUUGUUCUCCGUAACACUUUCUGAUCCCAAGACUACCUUCAACACUGUACGCUUCACGGAAUGGGACUACAGACAAUUCAGGACAUUAAUCAGCACUGGUCUAGACAUCAGUUCUUGACAACAAAGACCAUUUGAUCCUUAUGGGGUGAAAUGACCUAUAGUCCUAGGGAAAUAGACCUACUGUAGAUAUUGCUCUGAAUGCAUAUUAUAUUGUUUUUUUUUUUAUUUAUAUAUCAAUUAUUAAUAUAAUCGCCAUGUGAUAUGUGAACUUUUUAUGUUCAAGGAUCAAUAUUAUGUGGAAAGGCUAUAUUUUGUCAUAUAAACAUAUCGACAUGUUAAGCUCCAUCAUAGCCAUUUUCUAGAAUAGUUUCCGUCUCUAGUCUUAGACGGAAAUCCUAGAGGCCCCUGUCUGAACGGCAGGUAUUUGAACACAGACUCUCUUCAAGCCAGACCCAGAAAUGCAAUCACCUGCAUUUACAAUUGUUGACACUACAUAAAAACAGUAGUCAGGCAGGUUUGCCUGUGCCACAACAAUUGCAUUGUCAAAGCAGGCCGUAAACAAAACGUUGUGUGGCUUGGGGCACUGAGCUUGGUUUCACCUGCAUGUUGGCAUUAAAUGGGCAUUUGGGCUAUACUCUUUUAACUGUU